AAUAACUCAAACUUCUUUAUUCUGCCUGCCCCACGGCCUGCCUGGCGAUUGGAUCAAAGCUAUUACAGCUGCUCCUUCUAUAUUGCCUGCCAGAGUCAACAAAACGCUUUACCUUGUUGGAUAUUCCUCUAGCCUGAAUAAAUCGGAUUUUUCCUGCUUUAAAGCCACAUACGAAUCUAAGAAAGGCGAAUGGGUGAACAGGAGGCUACAUUUCAAGUGGCACUUGGCCACAAUAUGGAUUUCCUCGUACCUACCUCUCAACUACCUAAUUGAACCUUCAGGUAUAAUUCUUAAGUUGGACAAAACAUCUCUAUCUAAGCUACAAAAUUUUGUGGAGCCGAAGAACAGGUACCUGGUACGGUACUACACCAACGAUUCUCUCCUUCUGUCAGAGCUAAUACGGGGCUCACGCGAUUUAACACCACCAUGCUCACUCUGGAUGACAAAACCCAC
rnacentral:lncRNA from 1 species